rnacentral:lncRNA from 1 species
AAAAAAAAAAAAGUUAACAAAAGUGUGUUCUAGGUGUCCUCCAUAAACCAAAUCAAAAGGCUGGUUAAAUUCAUUAAUAAAACAUGAUGUACAGAGAGGAAGAGUUUCAACCAUAAUCCAAUACCCAUAAGGAUAAUAUCUUACUAUUGCCAUCGGGGAGUUGAUCUGGCUUAAACCGUUGAACUGAAGUUGAAGAGAGGGAAUGUGGCAGUCUCAAGAUGGCCGGACGAGACCUCCGAAAGAGCUGUUGGUGUCUGAUCCUCAAUCGAUCCCAUAAGUUGGAUCUUGUAAAAUUAUCAAAGAUAGAAAAAUCUUCACGUUAGAAGAGUUUUCUAGUGGUGGAUCCAUCGAUGCCUUAGUCAAUCUCU